CAGUCGCCGCGGGAAUACAGAGGGUGCAAGCGUUAAUCGGAAUUACUGGGCGUAAAGCGUGCGUAGGUGGCUUGUUAAGUCGGAUGUGAAAUCCCCGGGCUCAACCUGGGAAUUGCAUUCAAUACUGGCAAGCUAGAGUAGGGCAGAGGGUGGUAGAAUUUCAUGUGUAGCGGUGAAAUGCGUAGAGAUCUGGAGGAAUACCGAUGGCGAAGGCAGCCAUCUGGCCUAAUACUGACGCUGAGGUACGAAAGCAUGGGGAGCAAACAGGAUUAGAUACCCGAGUAGUCCCUGUCUCUUAUAC
rnacentral:rRNA from 1 species